GGAAUUUUCCGCAAUGGGCGAAAGCCUGACGGAGCAAUACCGCGUGAGGGAUGACGGCCUGUGGGUUGUAAACCUCUUUUCUCAAGGAAGAAGUUCUGACGGUACUUGAGGAAUAAGCAUCGGCUAACUCUGUGCCAGCAGCCGCGGUAAUACAGAGGAUGCAAGCGUUAUCCGGAAUCACUGGGCAUAAAGCGUCUGUAGGUUGUUUAGUAAGUCUGCUGUUAAAGACUGGGGCUCAACCCCAGAAAAGCAGUGGAAACUGCUAGACUUGAGUGUGGUAGAGGUAGAGGGAAUUCCUAGUGUAGCGGUGAAAUGCGUAGAUAUUAGGAAGAACACCAAUGGCGAAGGCACUCUACUGGGCCAUAACUGACACUCAGAGACGACAGCUAGGGGAGCAAAUGGGAUUAGAUACCCCUGUAGUC
rnacentral:rRNA from 1 species